GUUCAGAACCAUUUGGUCCAGAACCAAAUCUGUCUCUUUGUUUGGUCAAUAGGAACUGCACUUAUUUCAAGACUGAAAAGUACUUUAAAUUUGGAAUGUUGGAGGUACCUUGGUAAUGUAAAUUUUUGCAUUUCUUUUAUGCUCUCCUGUCUUCUAAGUGUUUUAACUUCCAUCACAAUGAAAUUUCUUCCUUCAAAAUUAUAUCACCAAAAAUGACAUUUGGAACAAACAUCAAAUUUAAACAGAUUUCCUUGCUUCUUGUCCAUGUUCUUCUUGGAAGCCACAGAGAGGAUGGCCUUUGGGUGAUCCACUAGUUGUUUCUAAAUGGGAAGCUCCCUGCUUUUCCCCAAGGCACUGGCAGCUCUUUCACACAUUGCCACUAGCAAUGAACAGUCUCAGAAGUUCUUGAAAGAUGGUUUUGUCACUUGUCUUACCUCUCUGCCUGCUGACUUGAAGCCUGACAAACAAUGAUAAGUGAGAGUGACAAAUGGCCAUUACUUACUAUCCUAGAGAUCUCCCAUAAGGAAAAGGCCUGAAUAUGGAGCUGGACAUGCCUCCAUUACACUCCCAACUUGAAGAAAGCAAAACCCAAUACAACUAAAAUUGUCUAAUUAAAUUAUUUGCAAGUAAAUAAGUUAGUAAAGGAAGGCACUCAUACCCAAAAGAAUGUGAAAACAAGAACAUAGAGUUAGAGUUUACCCAUCAACUUAUCUUAAUGUGUUUCUAGUAUCUUUAUACAGGCAUUUUUGUUUCAGUAAUAAUGUAUGCUAACAGUAUCUAAUAUGUAAACAACUUAGCUUAUUGUUCUAACAGUGCUUCUAAUUGUUCUAUACUGUGGAAUUAUUAUAAGGCAGACUCAUUGCGUAUCUUAUCCAAGGACAGUUAUUAUUGGAAGUGCAGGAAAACCUAAUUAAAACACUUUAAUAAUUCAACACAGUCGUCCAUUACCAAUCUGUGACACUGUGUGGAUUAGAUGUAUAUCGCAUGCUUUACACAGUAGUGUCCCCUUAUCCACUGGGAAUACAUUCCAAGACCCCCAGUGGAUGCCUGAAACCUCAGAUAGUACCAAACCCUGUAUAUAAUAUGUUUUUUUUCCUAUAUAUGCAUACCUAUGAUAAUGUUUAUUAAUUAGGCACUGUAAUAGAGUAACAGCAAUAACUAAUCAUAAAAUAGAACAAUUAUUACAAAAUGCCAGCAUCACUACUCUUGCAUGUUUGGGCCAUUAUUAAGUAAAAUAAGGCUAACUUGAACACAAGCACGUAAGCACUACCAUACCACAAAAGUGGAUCUGAUAACUGACAUGACUGUUAAGUGACUAAUGGACAGGUAGUGUAUACAAUGUAAAUAUACUGGAAAAAAGGAUGAUUCACGGGAUGGAGCAAGAUGGCACAAGAUUUCAUCAGGCUACUCAGAAUAACAUGCAAUUUAAAACUUAUGAAUUUUUUAUUUUUGGAAUUUUCCAUUUAAUAUUUUCAGACCAAGGCUGACCAUGGGUAACUGAGCAGAAAAUGAAACUGAAGAUAAGAGGGGACUACUGUACUGUUGCACCUCAGUGUUAACCAUUACUUCUCUUUUUGCUCCAAGAUUUAGAAAUCUAGGCAGGCCAGGAUAGUCAAGAUCUGAUUUGUUGUCUGGUGAUUCAGCCAAAAAUCAUCAAAGAAGCUUCCUCCCCAAAUUCCUUGCCUUGCUUCAUUAUCUGUCCUCUGCAUUUUUCUUAACACUAUGAAAAUAUAAUAGAGACCAGGAGAAAAUUUAUCUCUCUCUUGCUAACCAUGUCUCAUAUAUUUGUCUGAGUGUAUAAGCAUUAUAAUUAUAGACACUUCCAAAGAACAUAGAGAUAAAAGGAGACAUCUAAAUCAAUGUCCAGAAUGUCAGAACUGUUAUUACUUAAUAUGAGACAGAGAAGCAGUUUAUAGUUUUGAACAUUUGUCUUAGGAUUAAGAAAAUGGAAGAGAAGCCUCUUGGGUUUGGUGUAUAAGAAGAGAUAGCAGCAAAUUGUUUUGUGAAAGAGACAUAUAUGAGAGUACACGGAGAGGCUGAUCGCGGGACCUGGAAUCAUACUACACUGGGUUCAAGUCCCUGCUCCACCUCUUUCUAGUGUGUCUGUAUCACCGUGGGUGAGCUACUUAACUCUCUGUGUCUUAGUUUCCUCGCCUUUAAAUGACAUGGAUCCACCAUUGUGUAUCAUACAGAAUACCUGCACUGUCCUAAAAAUCCUCUGAGUUCUGCCUGUAAAUUCCUUCUCCCAACUGGUGCAACCACUUAUCUUUUGACUAUUUUUACUUUAGAUUUAAGAUAAUUUAUUCAUCAUUUGUUUGGAUUUUUAAAAGAUUUUGACUUCUUUCUUUUUGCCUCAGGAAAAAUCAGCAUGGUUUGUUGUAACAGAAUACCUGAGACUGGGUAAUUUAUAAAGAAAAAAGAUUUCUUUAGUUCACAGUUCUGCAGGCUGAGAAGUUCAAGAGUAUGGCCCUGACAUCUGGUGAGGGCUUUCCUGAUGCGUCACAACAUGGUGAAGGUCACAGGGGAAACCGACACAUUUGAAGAGACAAAACCCAAGGGGCAUCCUGGCUUCCUAACAGCUCAGUCUUACAGGAACUAAUCUAGUCCCAUGAGACCUAAUCCAGUCUUGCCAGAGCAAGAACUCACUCACUACUGCAAGAACAGCACCAAGCUAUUUAUGAGAGACCCACCCCCAAGACUAAAACACUUCCCCUAGGCCCCACCUCCCGACACUGCCACAUUGGGGAUCAAAUUUCAAUGUGAGUUUUGAUGGGAACAAACACAGCAUAUCUAAACCACAGCAAUAACAAUAACAGCACACCUAACAUUUACUGAGUGAUUGCAAUAUGCCAGGGACUGUCCUGAGAAGCUUACAUAUAUUGACACAUUUCAUUGUCAGAGCAAUUAUGCAACUAGACACUAAAGUUAGCUCCAUAUUAUAGAUGAAAACGUAGAGAGAAAUUCGAUGACUUACUCAAGUUCACACAAGCAAGUGCUAAAGCCAAGUUUUGAACCCAGAUAGUCUGUCUUCAACCAUCAUUAUCUGAUGAAAUCAAAGCUUUUAAGCUUCAUAAAUCAUAUAUGAAUUAUUUACGUAGUAUAGAGCUAGCAUUCCCGUUCAAUGAAUGAUUAUUCAAAUAUUACUUUAAAAACAAUUUUUCCUUGAGGAAGUAUAAUCACAAAUAACAAUGUUCCUGAGAAUUCAGAAAAAAAAGUAUAUUCUUUGGUUCUUAUGUCAGUCAUGGAGACAGAAGCCCCUCUAGGUAUUUUAAACAGAAGUUACUUAAUAUGGCAAAUUGGUUACAAAAUGUCGGAAAGGCUGGAGAUGCAAAAAAGAAGGUGGUGCAGUUACCCAGAGAUUGAUGACAAUAUGAAGUCACUAGCACAUAAGCCUGGAAGUAAAGGGGAGAAUGCUGUUACUCAGAGUCCACACUCACUGUAACUAGGGUUACUGGAGUAUCCACCCAUGCUGUGGGCCCAUUGGAACCACAACAGCUACUACCUUGCGGAAAGCCAGGAGUCAAGAAACUCAAGAGUUACCUGCGCCCACCACAGCUGUUGUUGGAAUGAGAUCCAAGGCUGCCAGAGUGUGCACUGCUUCCGUCACCUCUGAAACCAUGCUUCUAGAGCAAGAAGCCUGGACCUCACACAUACCUACUGCUGUUGUUACCGCCUAGGACAAGGUCAGAAACAGAGAAGGAAAAGAAAAGUGGCUUAUCCCUUUAUGCCACCUUACAUCUCCUGCCAUUGCCUCCCAUUGACAAGACUACUCUGCAGACACCUGACAAGGGAAUCUGAGCAAUAGAGGUGGCAGAACUCCAGUCCCCAGUAAUGCAGAGAACAUCCGAGCCAACAGGCAACUUUCUGUUGUAGCACUUUGUUUGUUUUAGAAACAACAGGAACCAUUUAAAAAUAAACAUAUAUUGAUGAACUUAUUACUCAAAAGAACAACCAGGGUUAUUAGUUGCCAACACUAGGUCCCACCAUAUUUAGUUUAAGCAGGAAAGUCAGUCAUUAAAGGAUAUUCUGGAUAGUCCACAGAGAUCACAGAGUCUCUGGGGGGUUGGGCUAUGAGGGUACCCAGCCAGAUAAAAUGCCUGGACUGUACCCCAGGGCUGCUUCAGCAAAAGCACCAUUGCCAUCUCUGGGCACAGACACCAUGCUGUGUAUGGCUAACACUGGGCAUUAACCACCAGAACCUCCACUGUCUAUUCUCAUCAAAAAAUGGAUUCUACACAAUGCCUGCAUCUACACUUUGCUCUCUUUAGAAUCAAAGUCUUGCACUGUGUCUUUAUCACAUGCCUAUCUGCAAGAGAGGUGAGGCAAAGCAAGUCUCUGGCAUCUACCUUAGGAAUGUGGUACUCAUAAUGUCAUUCAAUCCUGGAGAUAAACCAUUGUUUGCAAAUUACCUGACAUAAUGACCAUGUGGCCAGUAAUGUUUGUUUGAUAUACAUGCUACACGCCAGCUACAAUUCUAAUCAUUUUACAGAUAUUCAUAGUGCUCUAUGAGGUAGCUACUAUUAUCAUUUCUGUUUUGCAAAUGAGGAAGCAGAGCACAAAGGGAUCUUUUUAAUGAGCUCAUGGUCCCAUAGCUACAAACUGCCAGACCAGGAUCUGAACUUAGGUUUCCUGGCUUCUAAGUUAGCUCUUAGCCACUCACCUGUACUGUACAUGACAAAUGUCCCGUAAACAGUAGCUACUUCCGUUCAUCUUUUUUUCCUGGCACUUAUGACAUAAAGAGGGGAGAGGUCAGAGGAUGGUGGAGAGGUCCUCAGAGGCCAGGUCAUUAAGGAGCUUGGAAUCAUAUUGAGGAGUAAGGAUUUUAUUCUAAGGGUGACCAGUUCCCAAUCCAACAGUAUAUUCACACCCCCCUGAGCUGGAGCAUUGGCAGUGGAAGUCAGAUCUGUGACCAAGUGACAGUUAAGAGUACAAAGAGGGAGAGGAGAAGGGGACCAAAUGUAGAAUUCUUCUUGUUGUUGGUAUUGUUUGGUUUUAAAACAUUUUUUUUUAACAUGGGUAGGAAGAAGAGUCCAGGAAGCAGGCUCAAAAAGACUGAUCAGAGAGCAGGAAUUCAGAUCCUUUUCAUCUGUGACUCUGUCAUUUUCAACAUGUGGCUUCAAAAGUCUGCUUCAAGCCAGUGAAAAGAAAACAAAUAUGAAGAAUAGACUUUUCCAGGCCUGGAAGUGGCACUUAUGACUUUCACUCACAUCCCAACAGCCAGAACUCAGUUAUAUGGGAAAUGUAAUCUAACUAUGUGUCCAUGAAGAACAGGACAUCCGGGAAGCAAUUAGCAGUUUUUUCUACAAUGGUAUAGCAACUGGAUCAGUGUGGAGAAUUUACAGGGCAUCAAAGAAGAACCACUCUUCUUUACCCAACAUGGUGGUGUAGGUACACUAGAAACUCUUGGUGGAGGAAUAGGUCAGACCUAUAAGUGAACAGGAAGCCAGUGGUUACAUUUAGGGGGAAAUAUUUGAAAUUCUAAUAAAGUUUUUUCAUUGUCUAAAA